CUGAUCUACUCACUUCUUUUCAUGACUAAAUUAUGGAGAUGACCUGGAUCUUUGGUGACAAUUUCAUGGAUAUAUAAGAAAAUGAAUAUAUAUACUCAAUAUAUAUUCACAAGUGGAAACUAUAAAGUAGAAAUAUAUCUUUUCAACAUUAUA